AGCACAAUGAUGAUGUCUCUGACUCUACUGCUGGCCACCCUGGGGCUCCUUGUUCAGGGUUCAUCAGGACAACUCAUCCUGACUCAGUCUCCUGGAUCUCAGUCUGUUGUUCCAGGACAGCAUGUCUCUAUCAGAUGUCAACCAGUUUACAAACGUGUUGAGCCUAAUGGUAAGAAGUGGCUCCACUGGUACCUUCAGAAACCUGGAGAAGCUCCUAAACUCCUGAUUUAUUUAGCUAACGGCCGUCAGUCUGGAGUUUCAGAACGUUUUAGUGGGAUAGCAUCUAGUGGGUCUGACUACACUCUGACCAUCAGUGGAGUUCAGGCUGAAGAUUCAGGAGUUUACUACUGUCAGAGUCAUAAGUGGUUGAGUAACCAGCUUGUGUUCACACAGUGA